GUCUAUGGCCAUGCCACCCUGAACAAGCCUGAUGUCUGAUCUCGGAAGCUAAGGAGGGUCGAGCCUGAUUAGUACUUGAAUGGGAGACCACCUAGGGAGACCAGGUACUGUAGGCA
rnacentral:rRNA from 1 species